ensembl:lncRNA
UCACAGUAACGCUGCAUUAUGUCAGGAAUGGCCAGACUCAUGAAAAAGUCCUCAAAACCAAACCACCGGGCACAGACAGGGACAGCUGUAGCAGAGGAGAUUGAUGAGAUCUUGGAGGAGUAUGGUAUCAAAGACAAGGUUGUGGCAGCCACUGUUGAUAAUGCGGACAACAUGGAUGUAGCUGUCAAAAAGCUACAAAUUCUCAAGUUUCCAUGCUUUGCACACACCCUGAACCUUGGAGCUCAGAAGCUCUACAACUGUCCUGCCAUUUCCAACUGGGCGGCAAGAAUUCGCUCUGUGAUUGUAUGGAUGAAGAGGUCCCACAUGGCAAAAGUGGUCCUGAAGGAGAAGCAAGAGUUGCUCAGUAAGCAUAGUAAAUAUUUUUUUUAAGAUUGCGUAUAUUAUAAUCAUUAGAUCAUGAUCUAAUUAAAUUUAUACACUAAGAUAUGUGGGACCAUAUGGGACCUUACAUUAGCAUUUAAGUUGUGAACGCGUUACCCCUCAGAGCUGCCCAAGCAUAUGCUGCUCCUAGAUGUAAAGACCAGAUGGAACUCUUUGUAUUUGAUGAUGGAGAGAUUCUGCGAGCAGUUUCCUGCCAUCCAGGCUGCAGCCAUCGAUCCACGGAUAAGAAAGUCCAUAGAAAAGGAAAGACUGGCUAAAAUGAGCAAUGAUGACUUAAGAAAAGCAGAGGAGUUUGUGGUACUCAUGCGGAAGCACUACACCUCCACACUAGCAGUGUCCAGUGACAAAAGUCCGACCUGUGGUGAGAUUUUGCCCAUCCUGCAAAAGCUACAGCAACACUACACCGUACAAGAAGAUGACUCUGCCUUCACAAGGAGCAUAAAGGAGAACAUUUGGAAAGAUCUUUCCAAACGAUACCAGGACGCUGAUAUCAAGAACUUCCUGGAGGAGGCCACCAUCUUGGACCCCCGAUUUAAAUCCAAAGUGGAUAAGGAUGAAGUCUGGCACAGGAUCAGGGAAGCAGCAAUUGCAGCAAAGACAGAGGCAGGAGCAGAUGAGCACCUGGAGCAAGGAGACACACAGGGAGAGCUGUUCAAAGACGAGGAUGAAGAAGACUGUGCGCCACCAGUAAAGCAAAAAAAAAAAAAAAAAAAAAAAAAAAACGGCCUUGGAGGAACUCUUUGAAGAAGAGGACAACGAGCUGCAGUCAUUCCAACAACGGCAGCCCAUUCUUUCCCUGGCCCAGAGAGUGGAUCAGGAGAUCCAGCUGUAUAGAAACCUAACCCCCAUCCCCUGCAAGGAUAACACCGCCCUAUGGUGGUGGAGCAAGAGAGAGACUGCCCCUGCUGUCAGCACUGGCUGGAAGGUUUCUGUGUGUUCAGGCAUCCUCCACCCCAUCUGAGAGGGUGUUCUCCACAGCUGGAGAGACCAUAAGUCCAGAAAGAUCACGUAUCCUUCCUGAAAAAGCAGAUAUGCUUAUAUUUCUGCAAAAUAAUUUUUAAUUCUCCAUAGUUGAUGGAUGCAGAAUUG